UAGGGAGACCUAAUCCAUUUAGAAAUGUUAAGGAAAUUACCAUAACAACCUAAAUUGGUCUAACCUAGGUCGGUCGAGAUUGGGGAAAUCUUUCAAAGUAUUAUUUGGCUUAGUUCAAACUAAAAAAACAUAUAGGAAAACCACAGCAACUAACGAAAGUUAGACUGCUGGAAUAAGUUCCAGUCAGAACCUUGAAAACUGCAUAAGAGAAAGAGUAAAAAAGCAGGCAGUCUUUAUUGGACUGCAAGUGGUCAAGCUAAUAAGGGC
rnacentral:misc_RNA from 2 species